AGGCUCCCAAAGGCACGUGUC
rnacentral:snRNA from 1 species